rnacentral:rRNA from 1 species
GAUGAACGCUAGCGGCAGGCUUAACACAUGCAAGUCGAGGGGUAUAUAAAGAGCUUGCUUUUUAUAGAGACCGGCAAACGGGUGCGUAACACGUACGCAAUCUACCCCAAAGUGGAGGAUAGCCUUUGGAAACGAAGAUUAAUACUCCAUAAUAUCAUAAUGUGGCAUCAUAUAAUGAUUAAAGAAUUUCGCUUUGGGAUGAGCGUGCGUCUGAUUAGAUAGUUGGUGAGGUAACGGCUCACCAAGUCAACGAUCAGUAGCUGAUGUGAGAGCAUGAUCAGCCACACGGGCACUGAGACACGGGCCCGACUCCUACGGGAGGCAGCAGUGAGGAAUAUUGGUCAAUGGACGAAAGUCUGAACCAGCCAUGCCGCGUGGAGGAUGAAGGUCCUCUGGAUUGUAAACUUCUUUUAUUAGGGAAGAAACCCGAGUUUUCUAACUCGGUUGACGGUACCUAACGAAUAAGCACCGGCUAACUCCG